UGAAUUUUCGAGACCUUUGGCACCGUUCUAAGAUGGGUCCUCUCUUCGUAGGCUAAUGCAUUGGCCCUUUUUGACCCGUUUUGGGGCGAAAACAAAAACUGACUCCCGGGCAUAUUUUUUUUCGGCCUUUAUGGGCAGAGAACUUUAAUGCCGCUCAGAAUGAGGCCACCCAGUAGUUAGGUGUGAAUUUUCGAGACCUUUGGCACCGUUCUAAGAUGGGUCCUCUCUUCGUAGGCUAAUGCAUUGGCCCUUUUUGACCCGUUUUGGGGCGAAAACAAAAACUGACUCCCGGGCAUAUUUUUUUCGGCCUUUAUGGGCAGAGAACUUUAAUGCCGCUCGGAAUGAGGCCACCCAGUAGUUAGGUGUGAAUUUUCGAGACCUUUGGCACCGUUCUAAGAUGGGUCCUCUCUUCGUAGGCUAAUGCAUUGGCCCUUUUUGACCCGUUUUGGGGCGAAAACAAAAACUGACUCCCGGGCAUAUUUUUUUCGGCCUUUAUGGGCAGAGAACUUUAAUGCCGCUCGGAAUGAGGCCACCCAGUAGUUAGGUGUGAAUUUUCGAGACCUUUGGCACCGUUCUAAGAUGGGUCCUCUCUUCGUAGGCUAAUGCAUUGGCCCUUUUUUGACCCGUUUUGGGGCGAAAACAAAAACUGACUCCCGGGCAUAUUUUUUUCGGCCUUUAUGGGCAGAGAACUUUAAUGCCGCUCAGAAUGAGGCCACCCAGUAGUUAGGUGUGAAUUUUCGAGACCUUUGGCACCGUUCUAAGAUGGGUCCUCUCUUCGUAGGCUAAUGCAUUGGCCCUUUUUGACCCGUUUUGGGGCGAAAACAAAAACUGACUCCCGGGCAUAUUUUUUUCGGCCUUUAUGGGCAGAGAACUUUAAUGCCGCUCAGAAUGAGGCCACCCAGUAGUUAGGUGUGAAUUUUCGAGACCUUUGGCACCGUUCUAAGAUGGGUCCUCUCUUCGUAGGCUAAUGCAUUGGCCCUUUUUGACCCGUUUUGGGGCGAAAACAAAAACUGACUCCCGGGCAUAUUUUUUUCGGCCUUUAUGGGCAGAGAACUUUAAUGCCGCUCAGAAUGAGGCCACCCAGUAGUUAGGUGUGAAUUUUCGAGACCUUUGGCACCGUUCUAAGAUGGGUCCUCUCUUCGUAGGCUAAUGCAUUGGCCCUUUUUGACCCGUUUUGGGGCGAAAACAAAAACUGACUCCCGGGCAUAUUUUUUUCGGCCUUUAUGGGCAGAGAACUUUAAUGCCGCUCAGAAUGAGGCCACCCAGUAGUUAGGUGUGAAUUUUCGAGACCUUUGGCACCGUUCUAAGAUGGGUCCUCUCUUCGUAGGCUAAUGCAUUGGCCCUUUUUGACCCGUUUUGGGGCGAAAACAAAAACUGACUCCCGGGCAUAUUUUUUUUCGGCCUUUAUGGGCAGAGAACUUUAAUGCCGCUCAGAAUGAGGCCACCCAGUAGUUAGGUGUGAAUUUUCGAGACCUUUGGCACCGUUCUAAGAUGGGUCCUCUCUUCGUAGGCUAAUGCAUUGGCCCUUUUUGACCCGUUUUGGGGCGAAAACAAAAACUGACUCCCGGGCAUAUUUUUUUCGGCCUUUAUGGGCAGAGAACUUUAAUGCCGCUCAGAAUGAGGCCACCCAGUAGUUAGGUGUGAAUUUUCGAGACCUCUGGCACCGUUCUAAGAUGGGUCCUCUCUUCGUAGGCUAAUGCAUUGGCCCUUUUUGACCCGUUUUGGGGCGAAAACAAAAACUGACUCCCGGGCAUAUUUUUUUCGGCCUUUAUGGGCAGAGAACUUUAAUGCCGCUCAGAAUGAGGCCACCCAGUAGUUAGGUGUGAAUUUUCGAGACCUCUGGCACCGUUCUAAGAUGGGUCCUCUCUUCGUAGGCUAAUGCAUUGGCCCUUUUUGACCCGUUUUGGGGCGAAAACAAAAACUGACUCCCGGGCAUAUUUUUUUCGGCCUUUAUGGGCAGAGAACUUUAAUGCCGCUCAGAAUGAGGCCACCCAGUAGUUAGGUGUGAAUUUUCGAGACCUCUGGCACCGUUCUAAGAUGGGUCCUCUCUUCGUAGGCUAAUGCAUUGGCCCUUUUUGACCCGUUUUGGGGCGAAAACAAAAACUGACUCCCGGGCAUAUUUUUUUCGGCCUUUAUGGGCAGAGAACUUUAAUGCCGCUCAGAAUGAGGCCACCCAGUAGUUAGGUGUGAAUUUUCGAGACCUCUGGCACCGUUCUAAGAUGGGUCCUCUCUUCGUAGGCUAAUGCAUUGGCCCUUUUUGACCCGUUUUGGGGCGAAAACAAAAACUGACUCCCGGGCAUAUUUUUUUCGGCCUUUAUGGGCAGAGAACUUUAAUGCCGCUCAGAAUGAGGCCACCCAGUAGUUAGGUGUGAAUUUUCGAGACCUCUGGCACCGUUCUAAGAUGGGUCCUCUCUUCGUAGGCUAAUGCAUUGGCCCUUUUUGACCCGUUUUGGGGCGAAAACAAAAACUGACUCCCGGGCAUAUUUUUUUCGGCCUUUAUGGGCAGAGAACUUUAAUGCCGCUCAGAAUGAGGCCACCCAGUAGUUAGGUGUGAAUUUUCGAGACCUCUGGCACCGUUCUAAGAUGGGUCCUCUCUUCGUAGGCUAAUGCAUUGGCCCUUUUUGACCCGUUUUGGGGCGAAAACAAAAACUGACUCCCGGGCAUAUUUUUUUCGGCCUUUAUGGGCAGAGAACUUUAAUGCCGCUCAGAAUGAGGCCACCCAGUAGUUAGGUGUGAAUUUUCGAGACCUCUGGCACCGUUCUAAGAUGGGUCCUCUCUUCGUAGGCUAAUGCAUUGGCCCUUUUUGACCCGUUUUGGGGCGAAAACAAAAACUGACUCCCGGGCAUAUUUUUUUCGGCCUUUAUGGGCAGAGAACUUUAAUGCCGCUCAGAAUGAGGCCACCCAGUAGUUAGGUGUGAAUUUUCGAGACCUCUGGCACCGUUCUAAGAUGGGUCCUCUCUUCGUAGGCUAAUGCAUUGGCCCUUUUUGACCCGUUUUGGGGCGAAAACAAAAACUGACUCCCGGGCAUAUUUUUUUCGGCCUUUAUGGGCAGAGAACUUUAAUGCCGCUCAGAAUGAGGCCACCCAGUAGUUAGGUGUGAAUUUUCGAGACCUCUGGCACCGUUCUAAGAUGGGUCCUCUCUUCGUAGGCUAAUGCAUUGGCCCUUUUUGACCCGUUUUGGGGCGAAAACAAAAACUGACUCCCGGGCAUAUUUUUUUCGGCCUUUUAUGGGCAGAGAACUUUAAUGCCGCUCAGAAUGAGGCCACCCAGUAGUUAGGUGUGAAUUUUCGAGACCUCUGGCACCGUUCUAAGAUGGGUCCUCUCUUCGUAGGCUAAUGCAUUGGCCCUU
rnacentral:lncRNA from 1 species